GUUGCAAAAGCACCCUGUUGGUGUCCUUGAGAGAAGCUCCGAAUUAAGUAGGCGCUUUAAACCCUGGGGAAGAACAAUUUCCAACCGUAGCUGCCUAGGAAAGAAAGAUAUGCCUUUUCCUCGCGAAUCGUUUCUAAGAGCCUUUUUCUUAAUGCUGUGAGAACAAAAUCAAGGGGACCCUCUCGCUUCAAGUCUUGAAGAUGAGUAGAGUCGCUUCAUUUGUGCCCUUGAAUAUGUUCCCCUUUCUAAAUUUUGCGUAUCCUUGAGAGGGCCUCUCAUUCUUAAGUUAACUGUAGAGUUGCUAGUCUACAGGAUCCCCCCUCCCCCAGCCAGGUGAAUAGAAGGUAUCACCUGAUGUUUUGUAAGAGGUUUGGCUCAAACUGUUCCAUAGGGAGGAAGACCACCUUUUAAAAUGUGGCCAGCUUCCUCAUUUAACUCAGAGAUUGUGCUCAAGCGUGCUGCUCUUCGUCUUCGCCUAAUGGAGAAGAUGCUUAAGAGCACCCUCCGAGUUCUUCUGAGUUUUCCAUUUGACUGGGGAGCAAGCAGAGCUUACCUUUUUCUUCACCACCCUUUAGUCAGAACUGAGAGGGCCGGGUCGGGCGCUUUCCCCCACACACCCGAAAUAUGCUGUAGGGUCGGAAGACAGGGACGCUGCUGAACCUAAGAGGAUCCCUUCCCCCGUUUCUUGGUGUCGUGCAGACGACAGCCCUAAUAUACCCCAACAGGUGCUGGAGUAAGUCGCACUUGCUGCCGCUUCAGCCCUGCCCUUUGGCACUGUGGUGGCGGCCCUCUUCCAACGCACCCAUCUUGGUGGAGAGCGUGCGAGAGGAAAGGACACACCCGUCGCGUCGGGGGCUUGGCGCAGAGAUCAGCCCCGCUUUCCCAGAGCCGACGAGAGGACGGCACGGGAGCUGGAGAGGGAAUAGGGAGCCGGCAUCGCGUGCUCCCGGCCCGUUACUUUGGGGCCAGGCCAGCCACCUCUGUGUCCAUGAGACCGCCGUCUGCCCGUCAGAGGAGCUGCCGCCGCCACCGCCGCCACCUCCUCCACCAGCAACCACCAACCAGAACGCACGCCGCCGCCACUACCGCCUCCGGGCCCAGUUGCUUUGAUUCUGCUGCCGCCUUUCCUCCGCGCAGCAGAAGGGAAAGACUACUGAUCCCUGUGUGAAAAGAAUGGCUGUGACUUUAGAACAGGCCCAAAGGGCGGGCUAUAUAUUUCUGAAAGCACUCUUAAGAUUUGGCUUCAUGGUUGCUAAUAACCUUGUGGCCAUUCCGUCCUACAUUCUCUAUUUAAUAGUACUGCAACCUCUCCGAUUGUUGGAUAGUAAACGGUUCUGGUACAUUGAAGGAGUAUUAUUUAAAUGGCUUUUAGCUAUGGUGGCAUCCUGGGGCUGGUGGGCAGGAUAUACAGGUAAGAGCAAUUUACUACUUGAAAUGUAACACACACAUAUACUGGAAAAAAAUUAUAUAUAUUGAAAUGUGCAUAUGAAUGAAUGUCUCCUAAAAUAUUUGUGUUCUUAUAGGGGUAUCUUCAGUGUUUAUAGAAUAAAAACUUAGACUGUAAUCCUAUGCUCAUUUUGGUAUUUAAUGCUGAAAAGUGUUCAGGACAACUUACAAGUUCAGUUUUGAAAGCUGAACUUUCAUAACAGCCAAACCCUUAUAAAAUAUUAAUUGAAAGUGAAAGCAGUUAACAAAUUAUAGUUAUUCUCUUUGUCCCUUGAGGUCAAAUAAAACUGUUCUUUCUUGUGUAAAAUAAGGAAGCAUGACACAGGUGGACUCUGAGAAAAGAGGAAGCUCUGCUGAACUCUCUGGGAUUUAUUGUGAAGUGAUCAUGCACAGACUUUAUCAUAUCUCAAGGGAAUAUGUAUGGAUACUAGGGGAGUGGGACACAUUAUGUUCAUUUAUGCUACUGUAUCUGUGAAAAUUAGGUAACUCCAGUGACAGGAGUGGAGGACAGAUUGCUCUCACUUUAGCACUAGCCUUAGGUAGAAUGUUUUAUUUUACCCUCUGGUGGUGAACAUUGACUUACCUGGAGGAAAGAGGAGGGGUGCACCCAUUGUUUGGGGUGAGGAAUAGUUUUUAUUCUCAGCUUUAUCCUAGGUUGUAUCUGUGAUGAUAGUAUACUGUGUUAGAAUAUUAAGAGUGAACUUGUUUAUGUUACAUAGUGAAUGUCCAAAAUUUGGUAAAUGUUGACUUUCAGUUAUGAAAGCCAACAGUCACAGAUAACUUUUUUAAAUACAUAUUGUAUGGGUGAAUGUCAGUUUCAGAUCACUGCUGUAAAAACUAUAGAUAACAUUUUUGCAAGUCUUUAAAUGGAAAUAUAUAUAUUCUCAAUAUAGUUUGAUCCAUAUAUACAGCAGUGACUUAGUUACUACUUGAAAUGUAGCGUAUGUAUUUUCACAUAUUAAAUUAGUGGUCCCCAGCCUUCUGGGACAUGGGGGUCACAUUAGAGUGCCCAAUGCCUAAAGAAGAUCACAUCUUAAAAGUAAUAAAAUUAUUAACCUACUGAUUUAGAUCGAAAGUGAACAUUCAGAGGUCACUGAAGAAAUGAUAAUUUAAAUGCAAUCCAUUUUGGAACAAUAUUUUACUGUGAAAUCUUUAUCUCGCAACACAUGCUUACCCAGUCAGUGUGAUUUUUGUGGCUGUUUUCUGUUAAUUAAGGCUUUAAUAUCCAAGUCAAGGUUUGUGACAGACACUCUUAAAUGUAAAUGUUCAUCUGUAAGUCUUGAUCUACACUUGGAUUUCACAAUUUUCGUCUUGGAAAAAGUUUGUUGACAAAUAUAUGUGAUGCCAAAGACUGAACAUGCCUGCAGCAAAUUUCUUUAGGUUGAUAAAGAUACCAAGUAGACCACAUUAGAAAUUUGUUUUCUUUGUAAAGGGCUCUGAGGUGAUCACUGGUUUGCAAAUCAAUUAAUUCCAUCUGAAAAAGUUAUUUGCAUCUUCUUGCAUCUACUUCGAAUGGAUUUUGAAACAUUCUUAUUUUCUUUCCAUGCUUAUGGCAAUCAGUGAAUCUAUUCUGGAAUUCCACCUGCAAUAGGCUCAGUGCUUUGAUGUGUCUUUCAGCAUUGAAUUGUAAAUUCCUAUCCCUCUCAAUUUUUGGUUCAUUGAAGCACCAGACGUUUGCAGGGUACUUUCACUAACUUGCUUCACAAAAAUGUUUUGUUUUGCUUCAAAUACUUCAAUUCAGAAUAUGUGUGUCAGACACAAGCUUUCUUUUUCUCUGCAACUGUACAUUCAGUGUAUUCAGAUGAUCUGUGUUACCAGUUAAGAAAGCCAAAUCAAAAAUCCAUCUAGGGUCAGAAAUUACUUCUUGACCUUUUCCUUUCUUGUUGAGAAAGACAUCAACUUCAUGAUGAAGACUGAAAAACUGUGGACUUUGCCUCUGCUAAGCCACUUGACUUCUGCAUGGUACAAUAUACAUAUUCUGCAUCCAUCUCUGAGAAAAAAAAUUGUAAGUGAUAAGUUAGGCUAUAAUGCCUGAUGUAAUUAAUGAUGGAUACAACAAUAUGCAUCACACUUUCCCAUUGAAGAAUCUUACUACACAAAGCUUGCUGAUGGAUGAUGCAGUGAAAUUGCAUGGGAAAUGUACUGAAAAGAGAUUUCAGUAUCUCUUCAUUGAUUAUUGCAACUACACCAGUUUUAUUUCCUACCAUAUUUCUUUUAUCAUCAGUUGUGAUGCUUUUCAAUUUAUCCCAACUCAGACCAAGAUAUUGUACUGAUUCACAGCCUUCAAGAAUAUGUUUCAAUGCGGUUGUAGUGCCUUUCAAACUCAACAGUGCAUAUAAUUCUUCAGUAAUUCUGAAAUUGGAAUCUAUCCCCCUGAUCAAUAUUAGUAGUUGAGCAGUGCUUAUAUUUAUUUAUUAUUUAUUUAUUUGGAAUUCUUAUAAUGUCAUUGCUCUUAUUUAAUGCCAAAGAAAAAAACCUUCUUGUUCUGACAGUUACAUAUGCAGCUUUUCUCCUAGUUCUUCAACAUGCCUGGUGAUUGUAGAUGCAGAUAAACUGACACAACUAACACAGCAUACCUUAUCAGGGCAUGUUUCCUCCAUUACAAAUCUAUGCACUUCUUAACAAAUGCACCUCUUAACAAAUCCACUCUCAGUGAAUGGCCUGCCACUCUCAGCAGUACAUUUAGUAACAUGAUAGGUGGCCCUUACAGUUGACAGGUUCUCCUCAACAUACUUUCUAAAACUAUUUUGCUGCAAAAACAUUGAUUUUUUUUAUCUCCUUGAUAAUACUGAGUAGCUCUUGUGACAGGAUUAAAAGUACCUUUUAUUAUUAUUAUUAUUAUUAUAACAUUUCUAUGCCGCCCCUUGCCGAAACCUCGGGGCGGCUUUUAACAUUGUACUUCUUUAAUCCUAAGGUAGUUUCAAGACAUAUCAGGCAAACUGCUUUAUCCUUGUUUAAAACACAUACUCAAUGGUCCAUUUGUCAUUAAAGACAAAAUGCUCAUCUGCAACUUCAUUUCUUUGAAACAGCACUUUCUUUUGCGGACAUCUUCUUACAUAAUUUUUAGCAGAUCAGCAAUUGCAGGGUUUCAUUAUUACCCUUGAAUGAAUAAAAAUAUGAGAAGUAUAGUUUUAGGAGUCUCUUCCCUUUCCCAUCAAAUCCACCCCACUCUGGAUGCUGUUAGCUGGGGAUUUUCAUUUUGACCAUGACAAAGAAGAGACCCCUGCCUCUAUAGUUCUCAGGAAUAUUGGGCCAAAUGCACAGACUAAGAAGAAUUUUUAAAAAAAUGGAUCAUGAAUCUGACCUACCAGAUGGCAGAGCUGCAAUCCUAGGGACAUUUAAUACUGUAAGAUUUCUUCCUUAAUAAACACACUGUCUUGAGGUUUAAAUCUAUACAUGCUAAUAUAAAAAUUGGGGGCUCUCCAAAGAAAAGGGCAGGUAGAGAGAAAGCAUGAAUAAAAGGAGAGCCUCCCACCUGGAGCAGAGGAUAUGCCAUUAAGUUGGCUUCAAAUUAUAUGCAGGGUGCACAUACACAUCACUGUGUGCCAGCCAAGCUUCUACCAUGAGAAGCAAAAUGGCAGUCAGGAGGAAGGGAAUGUGACUGGAGGAAGAUGUGGGAAGGGGAAUCCCGUAAGCUUCAGUCCUAAGAGAGAUCUUCCCUCUCAACCAAUCCUGCAGUCACAGAUGCAUGAGAAGACUCCUAGCUGGAGUGGGUGGGGAAGGAGAGGCAAAAGCAAGCAAAGUCAGAGCAACCAGUUCUUGUUGAGGAAGGAAGCAUGCAUUUUCCUGAAGCGGCAACCUCACCAGUAACCUUGGAAGCCACUGGAAGGUACCUUGAUGGGCAAAGCCUCUAGAAAUGUUCAAUAUGCAAAGCACUUUGUAUCCUUUUUGCAAACAUUCUAGCUCUUUUAGUCUCCUUUUCCCACCUUUUCUCGCAAAAGCAGGCCAGACAUCUCUAGAACCCAUCCACAUAGCAGCUUUAGCUUCCUUAUAUAUAUAGCUUUCAACAUGGUAAUACAUGGAGAGGGGUGAUGAAAAGGCUGAGUGGUACAGGUUCCUGAUCUCUGUUGGCUAGGAAAGCUCCCAGAAUCGUCAAAAAGCUAGUAUAGAGGAUAAGACCAAGAGUGGGUGGACAGAAGGAACCAUGGAGAUCAGAAGAAACAAUGUUGCUGGUGUGUGAGUGUUUGGGUAUUUGGUAUGAAAGGGACAGGAAAAACAGCAGUAGGUGGUGCUGCUUGAGGCUUGUGUGUCUGAGGAAAAAUGCCUUGAGGGUGAGAGUACUAAAUAUGGUUGGACAGCCACAAAGAAAGUGCAUGGGGACUGCAUGCAGCCCAUGGGUUGCAGGUUGGGGACUCGUGUUUUAAAUAAUUGGUAUGGAGUAAUAAGCCAUGGGUACAGAGCAGCUCCCAUAUGUUUGCAGUGAUUUCCGUGCUCUAUUGGAAUUGCAUAGACUGGAAGGCAAUAGCCUUGUAUGCGUCUCAGUAACUUUUUGUUUGUUCAUGAAGAAGGCAUGCAGUAAAAAGUAGGUACAUCUUCCUUGCCUGUGUACCUCAUUACAUGCUUUUAAUUCUUAUUGGUUUGAUGGUAGAGAUUUGUUUUUCUUUAUCCCUAAUUCUUCUUAAUAAGUGAGUUUGCAUGGCACCCCUGUUCAUUGUGGGCAGCUGACCAUGAUGGGUUGACAUGUUAGCCAAACCCAGACUGGUCCCUGCAGAGUGUCUUCACGGGGAACAAAUCAGCCUGGCAAUCCAUGACUUGAUCUAUGAGCUCUCAUGCUCACGAUGAGUUGUUCUGUCAUUCAAACCUAGGAGAGCAACUUUACCAUGCAUUGUCAGGAUCAAUUACAGAGCUGUUCAGCAAGAGCAGCAAAAUAACCUGCCACUCUUCAUAGUCUUUCACUUCUAGCUUCCCUUGCUGGUGACUGUCUCUCUGUCAUUGCCAAAAUAGCACUUGGGAUGGAUUGUUACUUGUUCACCCAGGGCUUUUUUUGUCGUAGAACACACUGGCACCUUUUUUUCAAUGGAUUUUAUCUGUCAGUGAUUUUGGCUAGCAGAUCAGCAGCAAACAUCAUUAACAUAGUGCCUGCAG